AGUAACACGUGGAUAAUCUGCCCUGCACAGGGGGACAACAGCUAGAAAUGGCUGCUAAUACCGCAUAAGCCUACAGCCUCGCAUGAGGGAGUAGGAAAAGAAAUUCGGUGCAGGAUGAGUCCGCGUCUGAUUAGCUAGUUGGAGGGGUAAAAGCCCACUAAGGCAACGAUCAGUAGCCGGCCUGAGAGGGCGACCGGCCACAUUGGGACUGAGACACGGCCCAAACUCCUACGGGAGGCAGCAG
rnacentral:rRNA from 1 species